GUGCCAGCAGCCGCGGUAAUACCGGCAGCCCAAGUGAUGGCCGCUGUUAUUGGGCCUAAAGCGUCCGUAGCUGGCCGCACAAGUCCGUCGGGAAAUCCGCCCGCUCAACGGGCGGCCGUCCGGCGGAACCUGUGUGGCUUGGGACCGGGAGGCCUGAGGGGUACGAUCGGGGUAGGAGUGAAAUCCUGUAAUCCCGCUCGGACCACCGAUGGCGAAAGCACUUCGAGAAAACGGAUCCGACAGUGAGGGACGAAAGCCAGGGUCUCCAACCGGAUUAGAAACCCCGGUAGUCC
rnacentral:rRNA from 1 species